UGAGAACACACUCAUCUCUAUCUCCCUACUGCCAGUGUUGGGUGUGAGUCCACAAAAUCACAUAAGUUGAAUCUAUUCUUUUGGUGGGGAGGUUCUCCAUCUGUCAAGCCUUCCCUUCCAAGUCAAGGCACACAAAGAACAGUCAUGUCCUAAAGGCAGUGGCUGUGACCACAGAAAAAGUCUGGACUACACUUGGAUCAAAAAAUCAAACCAGGGAAAGAGAUGAAGACUUGAAUUCCUGAAGCAUGUGUCAAGAAGGUCUCAUAUGGGUGCCACUUAAACUGAAACCAAUUAAGAAACAUCUGCAGACAACAGAACAGUGUCUAGUGUGAACAAUGAAAUUUCUUCUAAGAGAAGAGAGAGAGUAGAACACACACUCCACAAGUCUGGGAAAGUUCUGUCCAAACAAAAGCCAUGUUUAUGUCCUCACUGGAGCUCCAGUGUGUUGCAACCUGUCUCUGAAGAACACUGUAAACCAAGACA